GCAAGUCGAGGGGCAGCAUAGGGUGGUAACACUUUGAUGGCGACCGGCGCACGGGUGAGUAACGCGUAUGCAACCUACCUACAACAGGGGAAUAACCCGGAGAAAUUCGGACUAAUACCGCAUAACACAGGGGUUCCGCAUGGGAAUAUUUGUUAAAGAUUUAUCGGUUGUAGAUGGGCAUGCGUUCCAUUAGAUAGUUGGUAAGGUAACGGCUUACCAAGUCAGCGAUGGAUAGGGGAACUGAGAGGUUUGUCCCCCACACUGGAACUGAGACACGGACCAGACUCCUACGGGAGGCAGCAGUGAGGAAUAUUGGUCAAUGGUCGAGAGACUGAACCAGCCAAAUCGCGUGAAGGAAGACUGCCUUAUGGGUUGUAAACUUCUUUUAUACAGGAAUAAAAAGAGGGAUGUAUCCCUUAUUGCAUGUACUGUAUGAAUAAGCAUCGGCUAACUCCGUGCCAGCAGCCGCGGUAAUACGGAGGAUGCGAGCGUUAUCCGGAUUUAUUGGGUUUAAAGGGUGCGCAGGCGGGCUUUUAAGUCAGCGGUGAAAUCUAGGCGCUUAACGCCUAAACUGCCGUUGAAACUGAGAGCCUUGAGUAUGGAUGAAGUAGGCGGAAUUCGUUGUGUAGCGUGACAUGCAUAGAUAUAACGAGGAACUCCGAUUGCGUAGCCAGCUUACUAAGCCAUUACUGACGCUCAAGCA
rnacentral:rRNA from 1 species